rnacentral:rRNA from 1 species
AGUCUCCUACGGGGGGCAGCAGUAGGGAAUCUUUCACAAUGGGCGAAAGCCUGAUGGAGCAACGCCGCGUGCAGGAUGAAGGCCUUCGGGUUGUAAACUGCUUUUAUAAGCGAGAAAUAUGAUGGUAACUUAUGAAUAAGGAUCGGCUAACUACGUGCCAGCGGCCGCGGUAAUACGUAGGGAGCAAGCGUUAUCCGGAUUCACUGGGUGUAAAGGGAGCGUAGACGGCGACGCAAGUCUGGAGUGAAAGCCCGGGGCCCAACCCCGGGACUGCUCUGGAAACUGCGGCGCUGGAGUACGGGAGG